UACAGAGGUCUCAACCGUUGUUCGGAUUCAUUGGGCGUAAAGGGUGCGUAGGCGGUCGCGCAAGUCGGAUGUGAAAUCUUAGGGCUCAACCCUGAAACUGCAUUCGAUACUGCGUGGCUCGAGUACUGGAGAGGAGACUGGAAUUUACGGUGUAGCAGUGAAAUGCGUAGAUAUCGUAAGGAAGACCAGUGGCGAAGGCGAGUCUCUGGACAGUUACUGACGCUGAGGCACGAAGGCCAGGGGAGCGAACGGG
rnacentral:rRNA from 1 species